AGCUCACGUGUGUGUGCUAAGUUGUGUCCAACUCUUUGUGAUUCCCUGGACUGUAGCCUGCCAGGCUCCUCUGUCCAUGGAAUUCUCCAGGCAAGAAGAGUGGGUAACCAUUUCCUUCUCAAGGGGCUCUUCUGGACCCAGAGAUCGAACACGUGUCUCCUGCAUUGCAGGCAGCUUCUUUACCGCUGAGACACCUGGGAAGCCCUAGAGCCACACUCAGAGAGCAUGCAAAAAGAACAGAUGUUCAGAGAGCCUUGAGCCCCAGGGGGAGCCAUGGGGCAUGACGGAGGCCUGGAAAAGAGCAGCGCAGAGGACACUCCCCAGGGAAGCUUCAGAAGGCAGCCAGAAAUGCACUCGGAGGAGAACUUAUCACUGUAAGUGUUUUCAUUAUACACAAGAGAGAAUAAAAAAUACAUGAACUAAGCUUUCAAUUCCAGACUGGAGGGAAGAAAAAUAAGACAGCCCGAAGCCCAAGGAAGCAGCAGAAAUAUGUGAAAAAAGGGGAAAGUGGCUGGUUUGGCAAGUAGAAAAACCAUAGAAUUGGUACUCCUGAGACCUUGAACGUCCCCGGGGAGCUGCCUCUGGGGCUGGACCACACGGCCUUGGAGCCUCCCCAGUGCCCGCCGCCCCCUGCCACGUUCCUGAGGACCUGCGGUCUCCAUACUCAUUGACACUGCAGCAAGGACCCUGACGAGGCUUGGUGUUCACUUUUCUCUGCUGGGAGAAGGGGCACCAUCCAGCCCAGAGCCUAGAGAAGUGGAGAAACAGCCAUCAUGUGGCCCACAUAUGAGGGAGGUUUCAAAGUCCUGUUCUGAAGGAAGCCACCAUCAGGAGGCCAGGACCUGUCUGACUCACCCUCUGUGCUGUUAUUCUGAUGCAACUUCAUUCAAAGUCAGUGUCAGGAGCUCUGGGUCCUGAGGAUGCCCUCGAUGCUCCCUUGACUUCAGUGACCCCAAAUGCUCUUUUCUUUAAAAACGUCGCAAAUACAGGAUUGUUGGAUUUGAACCAGUGUCCACAGGUGCUGGACAUGGGUGUCAGGAUGCCACAGCAUCUGGCCACUUUCUCCAGCGUGAUCACGGCAGGGGAUGGGAGUUUGUGUGGGUGUAGAUGGCCUGCCACGGGGUUGCAAAGAGGUGGACACGACUUAGCAACUGAACAACAACAAAAAGGCAGCCUGCCACCUGCGCCCCCAGCUGCCCGGCAGAGGCCAGCUCCACUCCGUCUCUUCAGCCCCACUUGUGUGUGGCUUUCUGAUUCGCGUCUUUGCAUCCUGGGGUUUCCCCUAAGGACUGGAGGAAUUACGAUGGGAGCCUUGCAGGCCGGUGAACCAGGAGGGUCUCUGGGACUCCGGCCAGUGCCAGCUUCAAGGCUUGGCCUCGCCAACACAGUUGAUUAGAAGCCCUCCCACAGGCACCACUGUCCUUGACCAGGGGGGCCGGGGGCACCGGGCCAGUCUCCUUUUGGCACUGAAGCUGGAGACAGUGAGAGGUCAAGGACAGGCAGAAAGAGCAGCCCUGUCGCUCCGUCCACGGUGACCUCACUUUCCAGAUGCCUCCACAGUGUGGGCAGCGGAGUGAGACCCAGGACAGUGGCCAGUGGACCCCCGGACGCAUGGUGCCACCCUGUCUCCUGCCCGCAGCCUUCAGGCCCGUCGGGGGCCUGGACGCGGCGGGUCUGGGCUUGGCGCUGCGCCGGUGGGAAGGACCACGAGGAGUUUGAACAAAGGCAGUGGAAGCAUCCAUCCAGCGAGUUCUGAGCUGUGUUUCUGCAAAGCUGUGCCUAAAUGGCAUUUUGAUAAGUUAAUUUCCCAUCGGCUUGUUGGAAUUUUGGCAAUACUUUCUCUUUUUCUCAUCACAGUUACGUUUCCCGGCUCAUGGUGGGCCCCUGAGCGGCAGGUGCACGCACAGCUGCAUGCUGGCUGUGUCCUCGCCACGUGGGACACCCAGCGAGGUCGUCAUAAGAGGGCUUUCCUGAAGGAGCGAGGACGUGCCAGGGGUGACCCUGGGGGCUGGGGUCCAGGUUGGGCUUGGCUGUGGCCCCGUGGGCUCCUCCUGGGUCAACCAUGUCCCGGCUGCAUUAAGGCUCAGGGUCAGAAGCGUCCUUCAUGUGGGAAGUGACCACAGGCUCUGGGGAGUGACCACAGGCUCUCUGAGACCCCACCCCUUCCCUCCAGGUACCAAUCAGCCUCAAACCCCACCUUCCUCCUGGUCCACUGUGGCUCCCUGACCCUGUGGACUGUUGUUCUCCAGGUGGCAAUCUGGCCUUUUCAAGUUGAGCUGCUCUGAACCCAGGCCCCACCUACCCUGUCUCUUCCGCAUGCACCCCCUGCCCCAUUCUCUCUGUCUGGUCCUGGGGGGCAGAGUCCAAACCCCCGGCUGUGCUGACGUCUCUUGGGCAGCAGGGGGUCCCAGAGGCCUCAGCUUGGAGCGAUUAGGGCUGUCACAGGCACCCAAGCCCCCUCCUUGCUGGCUGCAUUUCCUGUCUGCUCUGCCAUGGCUAUCAGCCUGCUUUGGCCCAGAAGAGAGUGUCUCACUUCUAAGCAGAGGUGUUCAGGGCCCUUGUGUGGUCAGCAGUGUCCUGCUGUCUCCUGCUCUGGCCCUAGAGUAACUCCCUGGGCAACCCUCCCAGGCAGGGAGUGUGGUGGGGGUGGGGGGCUGUCGUGAGAUCUGGGGCCUGCUGGGGACGCAGGGUGAUCCAGCCCACCCAGGACACACUCGGAAAUCAGGAAGGUGGCCAGACACAGCUCCAGUCUCAGGGGACCAUGGCCCAGAGGCGCCUGGGUUUUUAAAACUGCACUAGAAUGAAACCGGAGCUCCGCCACGGGCCUGGAUCUUCAGAUGAGCGUGGCCUGGACUUUCCCUGUUUCUUUCUUUCUCCAGAAGUUCUUGGCGAGAGAGCUGAUUGUGUGAAAUUUUUUCCGGGCAAGGGUAAUUUCCAAUUAUUCUAUGAUAUUUGCAAACACUGCAAGAGCAAGCAGAUCUGUGCUGUGAUGUUUUCCAAGAAAUAAAGUCUCUCCAAGUGGCCCUAACUGCUUC
ensembl:lncRNA